CUCCUACGGGAGGCAGCAGUGGGGAAUAUUGGACAAUGGGCGCAAGCCUGAUCCAGCCAUGCCGCGUGAGUGACGAAGGCCUUAGGGUUGUAAAACUCUUUCGCCGGGGACGAUAAUGACGGUACCCGGAGAAGAAGCUCCGGCUAACUUCGUGCCAGCAGCCGCGGUAAUUC
rnacentral:rRNA from 1 species